CAGGAAUUCCUUAUAAUUCCCAAGGACAGGCCAUAGUUGAAAGAACUAAUAGAACACUCAAAACUCAAUUAGUUAAACAAAAAGAAGGGGGAGACAGUAAGGAGUGUACCACUCCUCAGAUGCAACUUAAUCUAGCACUCUAUACUUUAAAUUUUUUAAACAUUUAUAGAAAUCAGACUACUACUUCUGCAGAACAACAUCUUACUGGUAAAAAGAACAGCCCACAUGAAGGAAAACUAAUUUGGUGGAAAGAUAAUAAAAAUAAGACAUGGGAAAUAGGGAAGGUGAUAACGUGGGGGAGAGGUUUUGCUUGUGUUUCACCAGGAGAAAAUCAGCUUCCUGUUUGGAUACCCACUAGACAUUUGAAGUUCUACAAUGAACCCAUUGGAGAUGCAAAGAAAAGGGCCUCCACGGAGAUGUCUGCAGGUGUACCCAACAGCUCCGAAGAGACAGCGACCAUCGAGAACGGGCCAUGAUGACGAUGGCGGUUUUGUCGAAAAGAAAAGGGGGAAAUGUGGGGAAAAGCAAGAGAGAUCAGAUUGUUACUGUGUCUGUGUAGAAAGAAGUAGACAUGGGAGACUCCAUUUUGUUAUGUGUUAAGAAAAAUUCUUCUGCCUUGAGAUUCUGUUAAUCUAUGACCUUACCCCCAACCCCGUGCUCUCUGAAACGUGUGCUGUGUCAACUCAGGGUUGAAUGGAUUAAGGGCGGUGCAGGAUGUGCUUUGUUAAACAGAUGCUUGAAGGCAGCAUGCUCCUUAAGAGUCAUCACCACUCCCUAAUCUCAAGUACCCAGGGACACAAAAACUGCGGAAGGCCGCAGGGACCUCUGCCUAGGAAAGCCAGGUAUUGUCCAAGGUUUCUCCCCAUGUGAUAGUCUGAAAUAUGGCCUCGUGGGAAGGGAAAGACCUGACCGUCCCCCAGCCCGACACCCGUAAAGGGUCUGUGCUGAGGAGGAUUAGUAUAAGAGGAAGGAAUGCCUCUUGCAGUUGAGACAAGAGGAAGGCAUCUGUCUCCUGCCUGUCCCUGGGCAAUGGAAUGUCUCGGUAUAAAACCCGAUUGUAUGCUCCAUCUACUGAGAUAGGGAAAAACCGCCUUAGGGCUGGAGGUGGGACCUGCGGGCAGCAAUACUGCUUUGUAAAGCACUGAGAUGUUUAUGUGUAUGCAUAUCCAAAAGCACAGCACUUAAUCCUUUACAUUGUCUAUGAUGCCAAGACCUUUGUUCACGUGUUUGUCUGCUGACCCUCUCCCCACAAUUGUCUUGUGACCCUGACACAUCCCCCUCUUUGAGAAACACCCACAGAUGAUCAAUAAAUACUAAGGGAACUCAGAGGCUGGCGGGAUCCUCC
rnacentral:lncRNA from 1 species